UGCUAACUACCAUGUGCCAGACGUUCUGCUUGUGCGUUGUGAAAAGCCACUGAAGCCUGGCACGUCCACUGAAUUGAUCCUCAAGCUAACUAACCCAACGAUGUACCAUAUGACCACAACCAUUAUGAAACUGCUAACCAAGGAAGAAGAACGGCGAAUGAUCGACUUCGAAUAAAAGUUCAACGAAAGGAACCAAAAUUCACCACUUGGAGAAAGUCCAAUAACGUAACAAUUAAAUUGAACUUCACACCUGAAGAAGGAUUGAAACCAGGCGAUGAUGUUACCCUUAGUUUCUUGAUGAAAUAUACUUUUGUGAAUACAUACACACGCCCGAAAAGAAAGAAUGUCAAAAACACGCAUUAUCAUCGAAAGUUUUUGUAAAAGUUGGUCAAAUUGAAGCCUAGAUUUAUUUCUAUGUAUAUCUAGAAAAUAAUCUUUUUUGCAAAAAACUUGUUUAUUUAUUUUGAGCUAUACUGUAAUUUUGUAUAUAUUGUAUAUUCUAUUGUUUCUUUGCUGACUAGGAUCAUUUUUAUUCAAAAUUAUUUAUGAUUUACUUUACUUUAAUAAUAAAGGAAUUUGUUUUGAAUUCAAA